UGGGGAAUAUUGCACAAUGGGCGAAAGCCUGAUGCAGCAACGCCGCGUGAGUGAUGACGGCCUUCGGGUUGUAAAGCUCUGUCUUUGGGGACGAUAAUGACGGUACCCAAGGAGGAAGCCACGGCUAACUACGUGCCAGCAGCCGCAGUAAUACGUAGGUGGCAAGCGUUGUCCGGAUUUACUGGGCGUAAAGGGUGCGUAGGCGGACCUUUAAGUGAGAUGUGAAAUCCCCGGGCUUAACUUGGGGGCUGCAUUUCAAACUGGAGGUCUAGAGUGCAGGAGAGGAGAGUGGAAUUCCUAGUGUAGCGGUGAAAUGCGUAGAGAUUAGGAAGAACACCAGUGGCGAAGGCGACUCUCUGGACUGUAACUGACGCUGAGGCACGAAAGCGUGGGGAGCAAACAG
rnacentral:rRNA from 1 species